CGGGCACGGAGGGGAGGAACGAAAAAACCCAGCUGUUAUAAAAACCAGUGGAUGAAAGCUGCUGUGGGAUAAAGGGAAAGGGAAAAGAGAGCCGGGACCCCCAGCACAGCCCCCUUCCUGCAGAGCAGAGCCGGGACAGACGGACGGACGGACGGAAAGAGCGACGAGCAGAACUGAGCGGUGGGUUUUGGCACUAAUGAAGAAAAACUGCAAUCAUCCAUUGGAAAUUGGAGGAGUUGGAGUCCUUCCGGCUCUUGCUGCUCCUUCUAAAAUGGAUUAAGGUCAACAGGAGCCUUCGAAUGGUCCCAAAUCUGCCAUCAAUGGUGUCAGACACCGCGGGCCCAAAUCCACCCCCAGCUCAGCUCAGGACCCGGUGCUGCUCCGUCCUCACCUUGGAUCCCAGCUGACAUCACCAGUUCUUUUGUUUUUCUUUAAAAGAAGCCAAUAUACAGAAUACAAAGCACAAAUAUUUACAACCGUACGGUAAACAGGUUCCAACACCCAUCAGUAGUCUGUUUUGAUGUGUAUAAAAAAAAACUCUUACAAUGGCCUAAAGAGGGACUGACGAGAAGUGAUUCAUUCAUUGACACCCUCCACUCCGACGCCUUAAAUAAUAAAUAAUUGGGGUUUUUUUUUGUUUUGGCAGAACUGAAGCUACGUACGCUUGAGCAACGGCUAAAUUGUGUUUCUUUUAGUGAAAGGAGGAGUGUUUGGUGAUGGAGCUUUUCAGCCAUCUUCAGCUCUUUCUUAAUAACAAAUAAACCUUUGGGGGUUCCAUUGAGAGCUAUGGAAGGAGCAUCAUUUCAGGCUGUGAACCCCACAGUGUUGGGUUCGUGGCCCAAUGGGUUGGGCAGCUCUACCAUGGAAAUGGUGCUGUCAGCUCUCAAAGAACCCCGGCCUGGUGGGUUUUUAAAGCAUUAUUUCCUCUACAGAGACCCAACCCAGAACUGGGUGGUCUUGGAGGUCCCUUCCAACCCAACCAUUCUAUGGUCCUAUGGAAUUAGAUGGGAGGGAAUCAUCGUUUCCAGAAGCAUCAAGUACCCAUUUCUGCCAACACAAUUUGUUGCUUCUGCAAAAGAGAAGCUCGGAACGGCUCCCACGAAUGCGGAAGGGUCUUAAGACACAGAACUAUACACAAAAACAGACAACAAGAAAUAAUCAAGUGUUUUCUUCACUACUCUGCCAAAGACUUGGGCUCAAGCCUCCAGCCUCUCCACCAAUGGGUGGGGAGGGACUGAAUUAAGAAUUUGGCAGGUAGUAUGUCUAGUUCACCUCUACCACCAGCAUCAUUAACACCAGGAUACAGUGCAGCAAUCUCUUGUUUAAAACUCAAACUGAUACAAGUUAUCUUGUAAUGAAAGCUUAAAAUUGGGUGACACAAAUCGCCAAAACCUGCGUGUUCCCCCAGCAACCCAAGUCCUGGAGCAGUGCAUAAGAAUCAAAACCCAAAAAUCCUGAAGCAAAAUGUGGAAAAUCCUCAUUGGGGUAUUAUUACACCAUGGAAGCACGGCAUGGAAAGGUCUGGUCAACCCCCUUUGGUCAACCAGAACUCAACUGUGAUUUAGCGUUGACCGCAGCAUUAUAAUUGCUUUAAAUAUCAUCUCUAAAAUAAAGCACUCACAAACGUGCAACGCAGCUAGAGACUUCCCCAUACUGCAGUUCCAGCACAAACAUCCUCCCAGCUUUUCCCAGAGCCAAAGGAAACACGAGCAAAGAGCUGCUCCACGUAAGGCUGCACGGCACCCAACCGUUGCCGCUCUUGGACCGUGACCUCAGCUUGUGUUUUUGCUGGCAGCAAUGGCGAUGGAAAAAACACCUCGUCUUGGGUAGAAAGAGCUUUAGAUCUACAGCCAGGCACUAUUUAGAUCUACUCUGUUUCAUUAAUUCCCAUUUACGCUGGCGUUGACCAACGCAACGCCUCUUCCAAGUGGGUGGGAGGACACCAAGCCAAGGCUGGGGCGGUACGAAUGGGCUGAGAGCAGCAAGAAUUCUGCAGGUUGAGGCUGUCAGCCUGCCUUGUCUUCUUUACCUCUGAGAAAGCCAUGGGGAACACAUCACAGCCCUACCCAUCCCAUUGUUCCACAUCGUCACGUGAAAACAGUUGGAGAUUUCGGAGUCCCAUCAGAGCAGAAGAUACUUCACAGGGGAACAGUUGCAUCUGCCAACAGAACUCUGUUUGCAACUUUAAAAACCUCUAAUAAAAAUAGAAUAUAUACCGUGUGGGUUUUUUUUUUUUUAUAUAAAUAAUUACAUAUUUAGCUUAGCUGGAUUUCAUUACAUCCCCCCCCAUACUUUUUUUUUUUUUUUUUUUUUAAUACAUUUGUUUUUACGUUGUCUGAACUAAUACAAUAAUCACUACAUCUUUGAAAAAAGUGUUUGUAUCACAUUAUUCUUUGGACGUUUCUGAACGACAUGCAUCCACAAAAGCAACUGCCAUUGUUUACUGAAAACAUUAUUAUUAUUAUUAUUAUUUUUUUGUACAAACCCAUUUUAGGAAUUGGAUCUAUUAUUACACCGCUAACAAGCAAAAAAAUUUGCUUCCUUGAAACCCCCUUUUAAAAAAUGAGAAACAAUGAGGAGGAUUUUCUGAUUAUCAGUCUAAAAAAGUGUCAAUAUGACACCGCAUUAUGAGUAGUAAACAAAAAUAAAGUAUUUACAGCUUUACAAAGGAAAGGAAAAAAAAAAAAAAAAAAAAAGAGGUCACCAAAAUCAUUUUCCAGCAUUUUCACCAUUUUUUUUUUUUUUUCCUGGCAAGCUUUUGAUCUGGUUGCUACAGAGUGGUUCAACACAAACAGAACAGGGCCACCACCGUCGCAUCGCUUGACGCUAAACCAACCAAAGACCUCCUAGGGAAACUAUCAAGGACCAACCUUGGUCAUAUAUCCAAAAGGUUGACCCACUGAGACCUACGUGAAAAUAAAACCCCAAUCCCAAGUAUGAAAACACCUUUUUUUUUUUUUCUUCCUAGAAAAUGGAUUACAUAUGGUUAUAAGAAAGACACCAACGAGCAUGGUAACUUACCAUCACACACAUCACCACCGUACACGUUAUUUCUAUCCUGUCUACUACGAACCCACAUCCCUUACACUUACCAAAAAAUACAACCCUAUGACAGAUGCUUCUCAUAAUUAUGGCUACGAGAUAAGCUGUAGGUUACAGCUCAAUUUCUGCUUCCUCACUUGGAUCCCAUUGUCAAACUGAGGAUGUUCUUUCCCACCUCGCCGUGCCAGCUACCAGCUUCAAGACCACUCAGCCUUUUUCUUACUUAAAAAAGAAUAAUUAAAAAAAAACAACAACCAAACAAACA